AUUGAACGCUGGCGGCAUGCCUUACACAUGCAAGUCGAACGGCAGCACGGGAGCAAUCCUGGUGGCGAGUGGCGAACGGGUGAGUAAUAUAUCGGAACGUGCCCGGUCGUGGGGGAUAACGUAGCGAAAGCUACGCUAAUACCGCAUACGAUCUACGGAUGAAAGCGGGGGAUCGCAAGACCUCGCGCGAUUGGAGCGGCCGAUAUCGGAUUAGGUAGUUGGUGAGGUAAAGGCUCACCAAGCCGACGAUCUGUAGCUGGUCUGAGAGGACGACCAGCCACACUGGGACUGAGACACGGCCCAGACUCCUACGGGAGGCAGCAGUGGGGGAAUUUUUGGACAAUGGGCGCAAGCCUGAUCCAGCAAUGCCGCGUGCAGGAUGAAGGCCUUCGGGUUGUAAACGUAGACUUUUU
rnacentral:rRNA from 1 species